CCCAGCUGGAGUACAUUUUUUAUUUUUUCGAGAUGGAGUUUCGCUCUGUCACCCCGGCUGGAGUACAGUGGCACAAUCUCGGCCCACUGCAACCUCUGCCUCCUGGGUUCAAGCGAUUAUCCUGCCUUAGCCUCCCGAGUAGCUGGGAUUACAGGCACCCACCACCACGCCUGGCUAAUUUUUGUAUUUUUAGUAGAGACAGCGUUUCACCAGUUUGUCCAGGCUGGUCUGGAACUCCUGACCUCAAGUGAUCCGCCCACCUCAGCCUCCCAAAGUGCUGGAAUUACAGGCAUGCACCAACACGCCCAGCUGAUUUUUGUAUUUUUAGUAGAGACAGGGUUUCACUAUGUUGGUCAGGCUGAUCUCAAACUCCUGACCUCAGGUGAUCCGCCUGCCUCAGCCUCCCAAAGUGCUGGGAUUACAGGGAUUACAGGCAUGAGCCACCAUACCCAGCCCAAUGUUUUUAAGUUUUUAAAGUUAUUUCUCCUGGGAGUCAUGGCUCACACCUGUAAUCCUAGCACUUUGGGAGGCCGAGGCGGGCGGAUAACGAGAUUAAGACCAUCCUGGCCAACAUGGUGAAACCCCAUCUCAACUAAAAAUACAAAAAUUGGUUGGGCGUGGUGGCGGGCGCCUGUAGUCCCAGCUACUCGGGAGGCUGAGGCAGGAG
rnacentral:lncRNA from 1 species